GUAAAUAAUAAAUAUGAAAGGCUCCUCGCUUUAUUUACAGAUACUACGUGUUUGACUCGCCCCGGGUCAUGAAUCGUCUGUAGAACGCGGGCUACUUACUGGCGAAUUACUGGAGCGACGAAAUUCGGCUCGAGUGGAGCCACAAGUAGUCGGGAGCCAAAAUGACUAUUGCAUAUUACAAUCAUACUUCGGAGCUCAUCUCAAAUGGAGCGAAUAAAA